rnacentral:rRNA from 1 species
GUCUUUUUGAGUUUAAUUUAAAGUCUAAUCUGCCCACUGAUAAAUAUUAAAGGGCCGCAGUAUUUUGACUGUGCAAAGGUAGCAUAAUCAUUAGUCUUUUAAUUGAGGGCUUGUAUGAAUGAUUGGACGAGAUAUAAGCUGUCUCAUAAAAAUUUAAGUAGAAUUUUAUUUUUUAGUUAAAAAGCUAAAAUAAAUUUAAAAGACGAGAAGACCCUAUAGAUCUUUAUAAUUUACUUUUAAAUUUUUUUAAGAUAUUUUUUAAAUUUAUAAAUUAAAUUAUUUUGUUGGGGUGACAAUGAAAUUUAAUAAACUUUCAUUAUUUUAAACCAUUAAUUUAUGAAUAAUUGAUCCACUAUUAGUGAUUAAAAAUUUAAGUUACCUUAGGGAUAACAGCGUAAUUAUUUUGGAGAGUUCUUAUCGAUAAAAUAGUUUGCGACCUCGAUGUUGGAUUAAGAUUAAUUCUGGGUGUAGCAGUUCAGUUUAUUAAGUCUGUUCGACUUUUAAUUUCUU